UGUGUACUCCCUUCGUCUGAAAAUACUUGUCGAAGAAAUGGAUGUAUCUAGACGUAUUUUAGUUCUUCAUACAUCUAUUUUUAUCUAUUUUUUUGACAAGUAUUUUCGGACGGAGGGAGUAAUAA
rfam:Triticum aestivum genome assembly, contig: Triticum_aestivum_CS42_TGACv1_scaffold_115645_2AS